CAUGAAGUUGGAAUCACUAGUAAUCGCGGAUCAGCAUGCCGCGGUGAAUGCGUUCUCGGGCCUUGUACACACCGCCCGUCACACCAUGAGAGUCGGGAACACCCGAAGUCCGUAGCCUAACCGCAAGGGGGGCGCGGCCGAAGGUGGGCUCGAUAAUUGGGGUGAAGUCGUAACAAGGUAGC
rnacentral:rRNA from 1 species